ACGAACGCUGGCGGCGUGCUUAACACAUGCAAGUCGAACGGAAAGGCCUGCUUUCCCUUGUGGAUUGCGGGUGCUCGAGUGGCGAACGGGUGAGUAACACGUGAGUGAUCUACCCCCAACUUGGGUAUAAGCCUGGGAAACUGGGUCUAAUUCCCGAUAGGACUGCAGGGUGGUGCCUGUGGUGGAAAACGAUUUUCUAGUGGUUGGGGAUGAGCUCGCGGCCUAUCAGCUUGUUGGUGGGGUAAUGGCCUACCAAGGCGGCGACGGGUAGCCGGCCUGAGAGGGUGGACGGCCACAUUGGGACUGAGAUACGGCCCAGACUCCUACGGGAGGCAGCAGUGGGGAAUAUUGCACAAUGGGCGGAAGCCUGAUGCAGCGACGCCGCGUGGGGGAUGACGGCCUUCGGGUUGUAAACUCCUUUCGACCGCGAGGAAGCCACCUGGUUGGAAGGGUGGUGACGGUAGUGGUAGAAGAAGCACCGGCUAACUACGUG
rnacentral:rRNA from 1 species